rnacentral:lncRNA from 1 species
UGUACUUAGAUAUAAUAAUAAUAAAUAAAUCUUUUUAAAAAGUAAAAAUAAAAAUAAAGACCCUGUGUCAAAACACAACAGCGAAAAGGCAAAGGGGGUGCAGGGAAGAUGGUUCAAUGAGUAGGCUUGUCAUCAAGUCUGGUGACCUGAGUUUGAUCCGUGGAACCUCCGUGACGAAGGUGGGGGAGCUGACUCCUCGGAACUGUCCCUGCCCUCAGUGUGUGUGCUGUGCUGCACAAUAAAACAAACAACUGCUUCUAGGUGACUAGAAAUACUGAAGCCUUUCAGCCUAUGGACUGUGAACUUCAUGGUGAGAUCAGGAGGGGGCUGCAGCUUCUGCCUCACUUGCUGGGUUGGGUCCUUGUCAGCUUCUGAGCUGAUAAAAUUCUCAAGGUGGCCAUGUUGGGGGGACUGCUCACAGAAGGGCUCUAAGAUAUCAGCCCUCCCUUAGUAAAUCAAGGGCCAGAACUUUCCAGCCAAGCCUGUCCCUACUUCCUGACUUACAGGAAGCUUAAGACAGGAUGACUGUGGUUUUGCUGUUUGAAGCCACCAUGUACUGCAGGGUGAUCUGUUGUUACACAGCAGUAGGUGACAAUAGCAAUGAAGAACACAAAACCCUCUUACUUUAUCUUGGCCAACGUGAAGCCAUUCUUAGGGAGAGGAUAGUGUGGCUGGAAUGUGCAGGCGUACCACCUUGAACUUGAUUUCCAUAUGCUAUUUCUUAUAAGCCUUGGGGGAAUGACUGCUUCCAUCUCUAGGGUAGGGCAAAUAUCAAGUAACCUAGAGAAAGCUACUGUACCAGAAAGCACAACUGUAAAUAAGCAGUCACAUCAAAAGGACACAGGAGCCCUCUGGAAUGGGCUUCCACUCACAAACACGGGGACAAUGUGAGAGUCAAGAAGAACGAAAAGUACUGUGGUUUUUUGUGAAUGCAUGUGUAUACAUGUUAUGUACAUAUACACAUCAUUAUGGCUGGCAUCACUAUGACAGUGUCUUUGUGGAAAGAGUGUUGCAUCAUGGGCAGUUAGCAUCUUCUGCUUGUCUUUGAGGCAGGGUUUCAAGUAGCCCAGGCUAGCCUCAGACUCCCUAGGUAAUUGAGGAUAAGCAUAGACUCCUGAUUGUCUUGCCUCACCCCAUGAGAUCUAGGAUGCCUUAGCCUUGACAGUUAUAACACGAUCCGCCUCUAGUUCUCUCUGCUUCCUGUUCUGUCAAGAUGUGAAGAGCUACAGCCAUGCCAGCAAGCUGCCUCAUGCUCUGCAAACGCAGCCAUGAAACGUGGCCACCUCCAUGCCUUCCUUUCCAUGAUGGACCUGCGAACUGUGAACCAAUGCCCCAUGGAAACCAGAAGAAGGUGCCAGAUCCUUUGGAAUUGGAUGUGGACGCUGGUAAUUGAACCCAGGUCUUCUAUAAAGCAGCCCGUGCUCUUAAGUGCUGAGUCAUCUCUCCAGCUUCUGAAGUAUCAACUGAAAGGCCUAGGAGAUGGUCUCUGGGCAACUGGGGUGGCAUGAACUUGGGUUUCUUUAGAAGCAUCAAUGAUCUGGUGUCACUGUUGGUGACACAAUGUGGGAUGGCACUGCAGUCACAGAAUGGUGUUCUUCCUCCCCAGAGCUUCACAUGGGAGCACUCAUAUCUGACGAGGUCACAAUGAUGAAUAAACUCUGGGCAUCACGGUCUCUUGAGAAAUGGCAGGUUUGAAUGCUUGGUCUCAAGUUGGUGGUGCUGCUGUAGGAAGCUGUACAACCUUUAGGAGGUGGGGUCUAGCUGAAGGGAGGGGGACCACCAGGGGGUGGGACUUAAAGCUUUGCCCCACUUCCUGCCUCAUCUCUACUUUCUAAUCUAUCAAGAUGUGCAGGGUCCAGGCUCCUGCGACCUCCACCAUGGAACCACCUGCUGCUGUGUCUUCCCUCCAUGACAGGCUGUGCCUCUUCAAAUCAUAAAUCACAGUACAGCCUU